rnacentral:lncRNA from 1 species
UGUAAUUGGCCUGUCUUUGCCAACUUGUCCACCCGGGACAGGGUGGCGGGCAAGGGCUGCUGCACAAACUGCACUGUAGUAUAUGGACUUGAUGCCUAGUUUGGAAGCCAAAGUGGGAGCCCAGUAAGGAAAAUCAAAGAGCAAAAAGUCUGGCUUCAAGGCGCGUAGGGCUGCCUCAACUUGGUCAGCGGUGCGGUCCAUGGCGGUGACGAGAAGGUGAUGCAUGAAGAAGGGCACAUCGGAAGCAGUUUCAGCACCGGGAGGGAGGCCAUCAACAUGUGGGAUGGUGAGGGGAUGAAAAGUGAUGAGAGUAGGAUGAAGAUUCAGAUGCUGCAGCUGGGAUUGAGCUUUUUUGGGCAAAAUGAAGGUGAUCUUGUGGCCCCUCUCAGCAAGCUCGUUGGAGAGAUGGAGGUAAGGAGUCAGAUGACCAAAAGCAAACCAUGGGUACAUGGCUAUAUGCAAUUUUGUGCUCCUGGCCAUGGCCAUUUUCCUUCUUCUUGGUUGGUUUAUGGUUGAAGAUUUCGGUUGCAACUUAUAUAUAUGGCAUCAUGGGGUUGAAAGAAUUGUGUUGUUUGGUUCACGGGAAAGAAUGAUCUCUUCUCUUAGCAUGAAAGAUAAUUAGUUCUCAUUUGUUAAGUCAUCUACUGGUAGACACCGUAGCUGCACUUCCAUUAUUGAAAAUAGUGAAUGAUGCUGUCAUUCCAUGUCAUGUGAGAGAAAGGGCCAAAAAUCAAACAAAUAACGCAUUUCCAUCUUCUUGUUUUGUGUUUCCAUGUGGUGCUUGAAGUGGUUGGGGUUUAAACAAACAGCGAAGAAAAUGUUUUUAUUUUGGGUAGGCAUUGAAAAGAACACCCCCCAUUAUUGAAGUGCUUGAAGUGGUGCGAGAUGCUUAUAUAUUUUUUAAGUCCUAUAUAUAUAUAUAUAUAUUUAAUUAUCAUAGUGCUAUUUAUUUGUAUGAUUGUACUUCCAUCCACUUGUUUCUACUCUCAUUUGAUGGCAUAAAUCUUGAAUAAUCCGGAUUUGAAGUUAUAAUACAAGGAUACAAGUGUAUGAUGCAAGCAUAGGUAUAAACAAAUAAAUUAAUCUAGGUUGGAUGCCAGUCAAUUUAAUCGUUUGGUUUAUUCUAUUUUUAAAAGUAAUCAAAAUCAACGUGGAUUUAAAAUUUAAAAUAUAUUUAAUAUUUUAACUCAAAAUAUAAUAAAAUACAUUUAAAAAAUAAUUUAAACGUAAUGUAAUUAUAACGAUUGACUUUAAUAAAAUAUAUAAAAAAUGUAUAUGGCCAUAAAUAUAUAUAUAUAUAUAUAUAAACUUAUUAAUUAUUGAACAAUUAUAAAUUACAAAAGGUAGAAGUCUUUAAAUAUUGGUCUCAUUUAGCUUUUCUCUUCAUUAGAGAUAAGGAAAUCAAAAACCAAAUCGAUAAAAUCAAUUUUUAAAAUUCUUAAACCUAAUCCACACUUUGUAUAGUUGUUGAAACUCAAGUUAAUUUGAUUGAUUUUGGUUGGAUUAGAUUAUUAUUAUUUUUUCUUUUACUUGCACCCUUGCUCAAGUCAAUGGGCUGGUUGCUUUAUAUUUGCAUGAUUUAUGAAAUAUAUAUCAAAUAGGUGGUCGUAUGAGAAGUGAUAAGAUAUCAAGUGAUUAGUACAAAGAUACUCUCCAUUACUUUUAAGGUUAUGUUUAAUUGUUGGAAAAUUUGAAGGAAAAUAUGAGAGAAAGAAAAGAAGAAAAGAAAAAGUGAAAGAAACUAAAAAAUAAAUUUAAAGUAUUAACUACUUCAAAUUCAUUUAACUUAUUUUAUUUAUUUAAAAUAAGGAUUAAAUAAUUUAAAAAUAAAUAAAUUUAUAACUAAUUUUAAUUUAUAUUUUAUUUUCUUUGAUAUUUUUCAUGAUACAAUCAAACAUGAAAAAAAAAAUCAUUUUCUUUAAUAUUAUUUUCUUUCAUUUGUACUUCCUGAUAAUCAAACAUAACAUAAAGUUAAUAUAAUUUGAUAGAAAUCUUUUCCUUUCCUCAUUUUCCAUAUCUCUAAAUCACUUUCAUCAACUUGCCCAAAUCAUUUCUUCAUGCAAUGAAAAUUAGUUUGUUCAAAAGUAUCUUCAUCUCCAUUUGUAUAGUAUAAAAAAAAUUAACAAACAUUGAAGAAUUAUAAAUCGCAAAAAAAUGGGAGUGUUAAAAUAUUAAUUUGAUUUAGUUUUUAUCAAUUAGAGACCAGUAAAUCAACAAGUGAUAAAAUCAAAAUUUAAAAUUCUCAAAGUCAAACCAAAUUUGUUCUGUUGUUGAAAACCAAAUCAAUUUUGUUGCUACCUGAGUCUUUGAGGAUCCACGUAGUCGCCAGAUGGAUGGACGCGUGAUUUCAACUUAUACAGGUUCUUGAUCCAGUCGUUAUACCUGCAAGAAGGCAUCCGGACAGGGUGUCCGGACACACCCUCCGAUGGUUUUGUUAGCCAUGGACCGAGAGAGGUAUAAAUCAGUUUGCCUUUUUUCAGGUAUCAAGAAGUUACCAGGGGCCUCUUUUCUUCGUGUGAAGGCAUAUAUAUAUACAGCUUCAGGGGUACUGUUCCUCUCAUUAAUGGCGAGGAGAUAUUUUAUGUUUGUCAUGAUGACAUUCGGAGGCAGUAUGGCCAUCACCACCCUACUGGCGGCUGUCAGAAACCGUGGUAGGUGAUGCUGCUGUCUAGAUAUCAUAGGAAGUGAGCAUGUAGAAUGAUCGUGGGAAGUGACCAGUUGUCACUUCGACCCGUCCUUUCACUCUGCAGAUGAUGGGACGUGGGCCAUGGCUGAUUGUCGUGAUAGCGUGUAAGACUCGCUUUACUUUAAUUGAUGAUCCGGACGAUUAUGUCCGGGUGGCACGUACUAAUUGCCCGGAUGCAUUGUGGAGCGGAUGCAUCAUGAAGGUUGUCCGGAUGUCUGUGUUUUGCCAGCGACGUUUGCUCUUCCUUGGAUAGGAGAAGUUGAAACGUCAUUUGCCUUUCCUUGAGGCGGUCCGGAUGGGAGAAUUGCCUCACACAUAUCUUUAGGGGAAUCCGGAUGGUGGUGGUUUGGAUGAUGAUGUGUGCCACGUGUCACUGUGAGGUGCGUGCCACGUGUUUCCCAGAGGGAGGGGUCCCUACAUUGCCCCCCUUUUUAACUUGCCUAUUUUACCAAAAAAUGGGCGGGUUAAAAAAAUAACUGUCUUUUUGAAAUUUGAAGAGGUCUCUUCGUCUGACUGGGCCACGUGGCGAGUGGGGGUGCGGAGGCCAAAAAAGGUCUUUAUGACGAGCCGCCGACUCUGGGUAUUCCCAGGCAGCAUGUCGUUUCAAUGAUAACUUGUUUGGACGUUUGGCUUUCCGAGGGCCUGUCCCCCUAUAAAUAGCGUACUGUACCUUCUUUUUCAUUUUUUCUACUGCAUUUUCCUGAGAGCCUUUCUUCUUCUUGCUUUUGCUGCGUCCUUUGCUUUUUCUGAGUAAAGAAACUCGAAAACACUUUUGUACCGGUGAUUUUGUGUCGCGAUACUCGUUUGCUGCUGGUGUUCUUAUAUCGAAACAACGAUCUUUCUUCUUCAGAGCUUCAUUUGGUACGUGUACUUUUGCUAUUGCUGUUCCUUUUGUUGCGUUUUGUUGGUUCUUUGGUUUUGGUUUCUGAUUUGUUUGGGUUAGGGUUUGUGUAUUUUCUGGGUUACUUGUGUUUUACCCAUUGCAUUUCUUGUGUGUAGGUUUGGGUUUGUGGUAAGAAAUGGCUACAAAAAAGGCUGUUUCAUCUUCCCGGGCUAGCGAAGUUUGUGGAAAGGCGAUAGAUAAGCUGGAUGCGCAGGAAUUCCGGGAACGGUUCUGUAUCCCGGAUAACGUGGCUAUCGAACUGCUGAAUGGGAGGGUGCUUGUGCCCUCCGAGAAAGCAGAAGAAAAAACUAUCAUCUUCUCGAAGGAACAAUUCAAUGCGGGGCUUCGGUUCCCUUUGCCAGCGUUGUUCAAGGAGUUCCUCCACUUCACCAAGAUUCCGCCCGUCUUCAUUCACCCCAACAUUGUCCGGGUGCUGAUGGGAUGCAGCAUCAUAAACAUGCUGUACAACCUCGAUCUCACGCUGCUGGAGGUGUUUUUUGUGUAUUCUUUGAAGAAGGUAAAAAAUGACAUCUUCAGCAUGUCCGCACACCUGCCCUCCCUCCAAAUGGUGACGGAGUUGCCAGAUUCGACAAAGGGAGGGGCGACGGGACACGUGGUGGUCCGGGGUGCAUGGGCGGGGCUUUUGGAGCAUCCGGCGAGGCCUUUCUCUCCCAACUACUCCUUGGUGGUUCCAGGUAGGUUUGCUUUGUGACUAUUGUCCGGAUUUUACUUUGUUGAUUUUUUGUUGACUCUUUCGAAUGAUAUUCUCAUCUUUUUGUUGCUGUUAAUAUAGGUCCGGAAUUGAGGGGCCACCUUGUGGAUUGGGUGGAAAAGGCAUCUUUUGACCGUCUCAGCAAACUUUUUGAGGUAGACGCCAAGAAGAGGCGAUGUAAGACGCUGCUAAUUGCGCAGAACCUAACGGCGAUCGUCCGGGAGCCCCAAGAGUACAUCAUCAAUAUUCUCCCCAGGAAGAUGCCGAAGGAGGUAGUGCCUGGGGAGCAUUAUAUUGUGAAGGACCUCCCAAUUUACGAGGCGUCAAAAGAGGCUGAUGCUGAAAAACGCCGACUUCUCCUAGAGGAUCGGGAGAAGAAGAAGAACGAAGGGACCCUUCGGAAGGCUCUCGGACAGAAACGCGACGUAGAUUCUCCUUCAAAUAAAACUCCAGCGAAAAGGAGGAAGCUGGUGAAGAAGCAUGGGAAGGAUGUGAAGGAGCCCACUCCUCCCAAGGAAUUUGCUCCUCCGCCCAUCAUUCAUGAGGCGGAGGUAAUGAUAGAGGAGCCAGUGAACCCUGCCCCUCAUUCCAUCUCCAGCGGAUCCGGACACCUUGUGGGGCUGAACCACUCAAGCACCUCCUUGGCAGCGGUUGCGCAUCUAGCGAAUUUGGCAGAGGAAGCUGCGUCUGUUAACCAUCCGGACUCCCGCAACCCGGAUGCUGAUGCAGCUGAGGCCGUUUAUGCAACCCCUAUGGAGGAAGCGGGAGCAGAAAGUCAGAGUCAGCCCUCUGACGAUCAUGACCGGCUGGCUCUUGUUCUGGUGACGGGGCCAUUCUCAAAGAAGCCUCGCUCGGUGCGCAAGCAAGAGAUUGAAGUCAGUUGCUCAACCGCCCACGAUGCUCAUCCGGAGGGGGGUGAAGUGGGGAUGCAAACUGAGAUUGCAGCUGUCCCGGAGGUGAUCCCGACUGAGGUUACACCCGGGGAGGACGAUCCGGACGUAAAUGUUGAGGUUCCAAAUCCAGAACAAGAGUCAUCUUCUCGUGCCUCAUCGGAGGGGAAUCCUGUUAAUGACGCAUCUUGCACCUCUGCUAGCCCUUUUAGCUAUGCGGAGUUGGAAGAGAAGCUAAAACAGAUUCCACCCGGAUUGCCCCUUGUCAAGUCUUCAGCCCAGAUGUUCGAGAUGGUGGAAACGGUAAAACUGUUUUUGUGCUUUUUGAUUGUCAUUCUGAUGUGUGAUUUCUAACUUUGCUUUUCUUGCUUGGCUAUUUGUUUGCAGCUGGUGAGUGGUCUCCGUGGCAUGGCCAAUCAAUAUGAUCUUUUCACUGACCUGCUGCGGACCACUGAUUAUAUGAGGGUCUUCGCCGCUCGGCGCAAAGAUGCUGAAGAUCAGUUGCGCCUGAGACUGGCGGAGGCUGAAGCCAGCGUAUCCGCCGCCCGGAGGGAGAAUGAGUCCCUCCGGGCAGAUUUGGCUGACGCAAAGGUCCGGGAGGAAUCAAUGGAUGCCCGUCUGCUUGAGGCAGCAGAUGAGAUGGCUGGUCUGAGGGGGGAGGUGAGGCAACUUCGGACAGAAGUUUCUAUCGAAAAGAAACAGAGGGAAGAUUUGCAGCUACGCUUGGUUGCACAAAAAGAGGAGCUAGAACAGGAGUUUGCUGCAGAGAGGGAGGAAAUUGAAGCAGAAUAUCAAAAACAAGUGGAUGAUACGUUCAUCUUUGAGUAUCGGUGCUGCAUGAAGAAGAACGGUAUCAAGCGGGACGUGCCUUCAAUUCCUCCGGGUGAAGAAAAGAAACUUUAUGACAAGCCUGCUCCCUGAUAGUUUAUCUCUUUUUGUAACUUUUUCUGUAAUCUUCCUUCUGUAUUUUUUUUGUGGUCCGUAGACCUCCUUGUACAUAUUUUUAGCUAUAUCAAUAAAAAUAUUUCUUUUUUCAUCUGAACUUGUCUUGGCUUUCUUAUUGAUAAUACUGCUUUAAAUUCGACACAUUCCACGGUCUAAGUAACGGAGUUCCGUCCAACUUUUGUAAAUGAUAGGCUCCAUUGCCAUUUGCUUUAGACACUAUAUAAGGUCCUUCCCAGUUGGCUUGGAACUUCCCUGCACCCACUUCAGUAGUAUUCUCAAAAACUUUUCUAAGGACUAGCGUACCAUUUUUGAAGCUUCUUGGUCUCACUUUGCGAUUGUAAUGUGCUGAUGCCCUUUGUUGGUAAUCUGCCAUUCGGAUGGCCGCGCUUUCCCGCACUUCAUCCGUCCAAUCCAAAUUUCUUCUGAAUUCUAUGUUAGCAUCACUUUGUUUUGCUGCGUCGGUUCGGAUAGUAGGGAGACCUAUUUCGGUAGGAAUGACUGCAUCCAUUCCAUAUGCAAGAGCGAAAGGAGUAUUUCCUGUUGGCCGUCCGGGUGUGGUUCUGUAGGCCCAUAGGACACCGGGUAGCUCUUCCACCCACUUCCCUUUAGCUUGCUCAAGCCUUUUCUUUAGGGCAUUGAUUAGGGUUUUGUUUGUGGCUUCUGCUUGCCCGUUGCUUUGAGGAUACCGUGGUGUGGAGUAUGAGUUCCGGAUAUUCAGCUCCGAACAGAAAUUUCUGAAUGCAAUGCUAUCAAAUUGUAGACCAUUGUCGGCUAUGAUGGUUUGGGGGAUUCCAAAACGGCAGAUAAUAUUUUUCCAUACAAACUUGGUGACAUCCUUGUCUUUGAUGCUAGCAUAUGCUUCAGCUUCUACCCACUUACUGAAAUAAUCUGUGGCGACAAGCAAAAUUUCUUUUGGGCAGGUGCAGCUAGGAGAGGUCCCACUAUGUCCAUGCCCCACUGUGCGAAGGGCCAUGGACCUGAGAUUGAUUUUAACGUUGUUGAUGGCAUAUGUGGAAUGGGAGCGUGCCUUUGACAUUUAUCACAUCUUUUGACAUAUGCUGCCGCGUCUUUCUUCAUUGUUGGCCAAUAGUAUCCUUGUGAAUGGGCUCUAUGUGCCAGAGAUCGUCAUCCCGAAUGAUUUCCGCAUACUCCCUCAUGUAACUCGGCCAACACAUAUUGGGCCUCUAGGUGUCCUAGGCACCGAAGGUAUGGUCCCGUGAAAGAUCGCUUGUACAGGUGUCCCCCAAUUAAGGUAAAACGGGCAGCCUGCACCCGUGCUUUGUGUGCCUGUUUGGGAUUUCCGGGUAGAAUUUCUGUCCGGAUAUAUUCUGUGAUGUCAUUCAUCCAUUCUUGCCCGUCCGCUUGGGGUGCCUCAAUGGUAUUGUAGAUUGAAACUUCCGAGACGGAGGGGUUGGUUUGCACAUGUAUGGGCAGAAGAAUGGCUUCCUUGAUAGGGAGGGAGGCAGCUAUGCCGGCCAAAGCGUCAGCGCGCCUGUUGUCAGCUCGCUUGAUUUUUUCGAUUGUCCAUUCAGUGAAUUGCUGCAAAGUGUUUCUUACUUUAGCUAAGUAUCGUGCCAUGCGUGCGUCCUUAGCCUCAUAUUCCUCCUGGACAUGUUUUACCACGAGUUGUGAGUCGCUGAAGAUCCGGAGUUUGGAGACGGAUAGGGCAAGAGCGAGGUCCAAUCCGGACAAGAUAACCUCAUAUUCUGCCUCAUUGUUAGAGGCAGAGAAUCCCAGCUGGAUGGCUUGUUCCAAAUAUUCCCCAGUUGGGGAUUGCAAUAAGAGCCCGACUCCAGAGCCUGAUGAACGUGAGGCUCCGUCAACUCGUAGAGUCCACCACUCUUUUUUACUUGAUUCUUCAUGCUGGCCAGGUUUUCGGGAAUAUUCUAGCACGAAGUCAGCCAUUACCUGGCCUUUCAUGGACAACCUUGGUUGGAAUUCAAUUCCAAACUCGCUUAAUUCGAUGGCCCAUUGUAGCAUUCUCCCGGUUAAAUCUGGCUUGUGCAGAAUAUUGCGAAGGGGUUGAUCAGUCAACACGAUCACUGGGUGGGCUUGAAAAUAGGGCCGGAGCUUUUGGGCAGUGUUUCGAAGGGCUAAGGCUGUUAGCUCCAUUUUUGAAUAUCUGGUUUCUACGUCUGCCAAUGCCCUGCUGACAUAAUAGAUGGGCUUCUGCUCCUUAGGUGAUGGGCAGCGGAAUAGAACGGCACUGAUUGCCCAUUCUGACACUGCCAGAUACAUGUAUAAUUUCUCCUUUGGGAUGAGGCUGCUUAAAAUGGGUGGUUGCAUAAGACAAUGCUUAAUCCUUUCCAAAGCGCUUUGACAACUGUCCGUCCACCCAUGCGCUCCAGCCUUUCGUAUUGCCAAGAAGAAGGGUCGCAACUCAUCAGUAAAGCGGGCUAUGAAACGUCCUAACGCAACGAGCUUGCCUGUGAGGCGUUGUAUCUCCUUUUUGUUCCUGGGAAGAGUUGUUUCCAUAACUGCCUUGACUUGAUCCGGGCUGACUUCUAUGCCCCUUUGGCUGACCAUAAAUCCUAGAAAUUUUCCGGCACUUACGCCAAAAGCGCAUUUAGAAGGAUUUAGCUUCAUGCCAUACCUUCGUAAGAGGUGAAAAACUUCUUGCAAAUGAAGGAUAUGCUGUUCUCGAGUUUUGCUUUUAACCACGAUAUCGUCAAUAUAUACCUCUAUUGAGUGGCCUAUCAGAGGUUUGAAGAUUUUAGUCAUCAAUCUUUGAUAAGUGGCGCCAACAUUUUUGAGUCCGAAUGGCAUGACUUUAUAGCAAUAUAGGCCGUGUGGCGUUAUGAAUGCUGUUUUUUCCUCGUCAUCCGGGGACAUGGGGAUUUGAUGAUAUCCGGAGAAGGCAUCCAAGAAAGAGAGCAUCCCCUGCCCGGAAGUGGAAUCCACAAUCUGAUCUAUUCGCGGCAAGGGAAAACUGUCUUUUGGACACACAUUGUUGAGAUUGGUGUAAUCUACACAAACUCGCCAUUUUCCUUCUUUUUUGGGUACCACGACUACGUUUGCCAACCAAUCUGGAUAAGAAACUUCUCUAAUGAAUCCGGCUUCGAGCAAUUUGUCAAUCUCAUUCCGGAUGAUUUUUUGUCUCUCCAGGUGAAAGCGCCUAAUCCUCUGCCGGACGGGUCUGGCAGUUGAAAAGACGUUAAGCCUGUGAGAUGCAAUGGAGGGAAGAAUGUGCCCACGCAAAGAUGUCGUGGUUCUGUCUGAGGAUAUUUUGCAUGUCCUGAGUUUCUUCUUGUGUCAUGAGGGAACUGAUGUUCGUGAGGUGAUCGCUUUCCUCCGAAAUUUGGAUUGUUUGUAAGGGAUCUACUGCCGGGGGAUCUUUGUCCGCCGGACCCAAUAAUUGCUAUUGGUCACGCGCAAUGCUGGGUUCAGGGGGAGAUGCAUCCUCCUGGUUAGCCCCUGCUUCACGUGCUAUUUGAUAGCAUUGGCGAGCGGCUAAUUGGCUGCCAUAUAGGUCGAUUUGGCCCUCGUUGGUGAGAAAACUCACCAUUUGAUGAUAUGUAGAGGGGAUAGCCUUCAUGUAGUGGAGCCAUGUACGCCCCAAAAUGACAUUGAAGGGUGAUAACUCCUGUACUACUGAAAACUGAACGUUGAGAGUGACUGGGCCAGCUUGGACUGAUAGUAUGAUAUCUCCUAAGGAUGUGGUUGAUGAUCCGUUGAAUCCGGAUAAGAUUCGUCCGGGGUUUUCAAGGCCCGCGAGACUAUGUCCCAUGCGGCCAACGACUGAUGCUUGCACCAGGUCGGCCGAACUGCCUGGGUCAACCAAGAUACGCCGCACAUCGAAGUCCCCAAUUUCUAGGGACAAGAUGAGGGCGUCGCGAUGUGGUUGUAGUGUCCGGGUGGGAUUCACUGGUGGAAAAAUUAUUGUUCCAUCUAUGGGGCGAGGGCCCUCCCCAGUUAGACCCGGCCGGAUGGAAUUAAUGCGUUCGCGUAUUGAUGCAGCUCGCAACAAUUUCUGCCUUUUCCGCCUGGAGUCAUACUCCUCGUCAGAUGGUCCUCCGGUAAUAUAGUUGAUAAUGGCCUUGGAGGCAACUGGGACCCUAGGGACUCCAGGGUUGUUGUGCUUGGAAACGUCCCUUCCUCCAGUAUCCGUGCGGAGGUAUUGCUUCAAAUGCCCAGCUUUUAUGAGUCUUUCGACCAAAUACUGGAAAGAUCGGCACGUCUCUGUUGUAUGGCCAUGAUCUUUGUGGAAGGCACAUUUCCUGCUACGAUCCCUUGUAGAUGGGUCCAUUGCAAUGGGUCUAGGCCACUUGAAGUCGGUCAAGCCUUGGAUCAUUGGGAGAAGUUUCUCAUAUGAUAUAGAAAGAGGUGUGAGAGGCGGCAUUUCCGGGCGACUUGGCCCUUCCUGCCUUCGGUCAGACGACUUUGGCCGAUCCGGAGGUUUGGUAUUUCUCUCUGUAUUACUUCCGGAUGGUCGUCCGGCAACCAAAACUUGUUGGGUGGCUGCACGUACGUCAUCUUCCAGUAUUGAGUAUUUGUUGGCUCGUCUGAAUAAGUCGUCCAUUGUUGUAGGAGGUUUUUUGGCCAGUGAUUCGAAAAAUGGAGUGCCUGGACAGAUGCUUCGUUUGAAGAUCUGUAGAACAGCAUCCAUACUGCAAGCUUCCACUUGAAGUACGGCUUGGCCAAACCGCUUCACAAAUUCCCUUAAGGAUUCGUUAUCUUGCAUCUUUAUGUUCUACAAGGUGCUGAUAUUUUGCUUGUGUCGGGCGGAGCAUAAGUAUUGUCCCACGAAAGCUUCGGAUAGGUCCCUGAAAUUGCCAACAGAGUUGGGAGGUAGGCGAUGAAACCAUGAGAGGGCCUGUCCCUGUAGGCUGGCGGGAAAUACUUUGCAUAGCAGCGCAUCGUUGCCAAUAUCGAGCGUCAUGAGCUGUCGAUAAUGCAUGAUGUGAUCGAAGGGAUCGUUGGUUCCAUCGUAUGUGGAAAAUUUUGGUACGAGGAAUCCCCUUGGGGGCUCGUAGUUAAUGAUAUGAGAGCAGAAAGGCGUGGAGAGCAUGUCAUCCAGCCUUUUGCUGAUGGAGCCAGUGGGUGGCCCGUUUGGGAUGCUUCUCCCAGUUGGCUGUUCCGCUGGGUGCAAAUGAACGUUCCGCAUCACGAGAGUGACUAUGGGGUCACGAUGCGGGUGAACGUUCUGCGCCAUGGGGGUUGUCAUGGGGUCAGGGCGUGGUGCCCAGGUUGUGACCAUAGGUGGCCUUGAUCUUCUAGGCUCUUGCGGGCCUAGUCUUGCGCGCAUCGAAUUUGACAACUGUGACUUUUUAUCACGUUGCCUUUUUGCUGAAAAGUGAGUAGAGUCUGAGCUUUCCUCAUAGGGAGCUCGAGGCAUAGGCGUGCGUGGCUCAUGAGGCCUCACGUUGCAUGCCCCUGGGAUUGCUCCUGUUGUCCCAGGGUAUAUUGACUCUGGUUCUUGCUGAGGCCUUGAGUUUGCUACUUGGCCUCUCGAAUAUUGACGUCGAGGAGGCCCUGAUGUUGAAGCCUGGAUGCGUAACACAACGUUUUCUUCUCUCAAUCUCUCUGUCUCCUGGAGGAGAGCUUUUAGCUGCCUUUCGCUUGCUAACUGUCUCCUUUCGAUGGCUAGGCGCCAUUCAAAAUUAUCAUUCUCUCCCCUACCAGAUGACCGACUUUGGGAAGGUGUGGCCAUCUUUCUUAGUGACUGAAUCAAAGUAAAGAAAACUUCCCACAGACGGCGCCAAUGUUGCUACCUCGCGUCUUUGAGGAUCCACGUAGUCGCCAGAUGGAUGGACGCGUGAUUUCAACUUAUACAGGUUCUUGAUCCAGUCGUUAUACCUGCAAGAAGGCAUCCGGACAGGGUGUCCGGACACACCCUCCGAUGGUUUUGUUAGCCAUGGACCGAGAGAGGUAUAAAUCAGUUUGCCUUUUUUCAGGUAUCAAGAAGUUACCAGGGGCCUCUUUUCUUCGUGUGAAGGCAUAUAUAUAUACAGCUUCAGGGGUACUGUUCCUCUCAUUAAUGGUGAGGAGAUAUUUUAUGUUUGUCAUGAUGACAUUCGGAGGCAGUAUGGCCAUCACCACCCUACUGGCGGCUGUCAGAAACCGUGGUAGGUGAUGCUGCUGUCUAGAUAUCGUAGGAAGUGAGCAUGUAGAAUGAUCGUGGGAAGUGACUAGUUGUCACUUCGACCCGUCCUUUCACUCUGCAGAUGAUGGGACGUGGGCCAUGGCGCUGAUUAUCGUGAUAGCGUGUAAGACUCGCUUUACUUUAAUUGAUGAUCCGGACGAUUAUGUCCGGGUGGCACGUACUAAUUGCCCGGAUGCAUUGUGGAGCGGAUGCAUCAUGAAGGUUGUCCGGAUGUCUGUGUUUUGCCAGCGACGUUUGCUCUUCCUUGGAUAGGAGAAGUUGAAACGUCAUUUGCCUUUCCUUGAGGCGGUCCGGAUGGGAGAACUGCCUCACACAUAUCUUUAGGGGAAUCCGGAUGGUGGUGGUUUGGAUGAUGAUGUGUGCCACGUGUCACUGUGAGGUGCAUGCCACGUGUUUCCCAGAGGGAGGGGUCCCUACAAAUUUGAUUGAUUUUGGCUGGAUUAAAUUUAUUUUAUUGAUUUAUAUCUUUUUCUACACCUACUCAUUUUCCAUAUCCUUAAAUGACUUUCAUCAACUUGCUCAGAUCAAUUCUUCAUGCAGUGAAAAUUAAUCUAAUCUCAUAAUCAAUAUUAUAAUAUACAUGCAUGAAAAGAGUUAUACUAUUUAUUUCAAAAUAGUGUUUUAUCUAACUUUGGAUUUAAAAUGAAAAUCUUCUUCUUAGUUUGGGGAAGGGUAAUGACCGGCUUUGAAUCUAAGGGGUUCUCAUGAUUUUAAAAGAUAUAUAUGCACAUAGUUAAGAGAAACUUAUAUAUAUAUAUAUAUAUAUAUAUAUAUAUAAUACUAAAAACUUUUUCGUCUAUUGGAUAUGAUAUAUCAUAAUUACUUCAUGCAACGUUCUUGUUGUCCUAUAAGAUUCUGGGGAUAAACAGACAUAUAAUUCAUAUAAUUAUAGAGAUUUUGAAAGUUUGAGGUAACUUUCUCAAUGACGAGAAAGGAGUUGGAUUGAAUCUUCCUAAAAAAUACCUGAUUUCUAUAAAUCCAUACAUUCUACAAGAUAAUGGAAAAUUUUUCCAUAGAAUGCUUGAAAAUUUUGCAGUUAAUUUUAUAGUUUUCAUAUACCAUUUCAAACCAAGAUAAGAACUCACAUUUAUAAAAGAGAGGUAUAAAACAAUUAUGCUUAAUGCGAUUCUAAAUUCCUUGAACAAAAAGGCAAUAAUUAAAAAUAUGAUUUCAAUAUUUUGUCUACAAAGAUGACAUAUGUUUGUAAUAAAAUAUGACAAUAUUUUCAAUAUGUUAAUAUAUAAUAUGAGACUAUGUGUUCUUCAUUCACAAUUAGGAUGAUAAUGGUAUUUUUAGAUACCCACGCGUCCCAUCACCCCAUUUUAUAACCCCUAGGACAAAUUUUGAAGAAGUAUAUUUGAGAAUUUUUUAACCCAUAUUGGGUUUGGAAUGAUUUUGAAUCUUACCUCAUCCCAUUCUACUCUAUCCCAUAAUAUAUAAUUAAAUAAAAAUAAGAUAAUUAAUUUUAUUUUCAUUUUCCCCAUUUUUAAUACAUAUAAAACAAAAAUUGACAUCUUAGGGAUAGUUGUCUUUGAUACAACACUCACUUAUUCUUCUUAAUGAAUCAUCUCAAAACCAUAUUGAAACUUAUUUGAUUAAAUUACUAAUCCUUACCUUUCUAAUUAAUUAAAAAGACUUUUUAAGAGCCUUUUUGAAAGGUUUAUAAGAACUUUCAUAUUAAGAGUUUAUCAUUAUUUUUUAGAAUUUACUAUCAAAAGUAUUUGGAUUUGGCUAAUAUAGAAGUGUAAUUUUCUUAUAGCUAUAAAAAAUAUAUCACCAAUCAAGUGAUGUCAUAUAAACAUUUAUAGAUUUCAUUUUUUGUACCCUAAUUCUAUUUAUUUGUACCCUAAUAUCUUGGUUACAUUCAUUUAUACCUUUUUUCAAUGGUUUAGAUGAUAUUAUAUAUAUUUAAUAGCCCAAAUCUUUUAAUCGAUAGGUAUCACUAUGGUACCUUAGCAUUUUUCUAAAUAUUUUUCUUUUGUUUUUGUAUGCAAACACUUUAGUCAUGUGUAUGAAAACCCUAUUAUUAGAAAAUUACAAAUUUUAAUUAGGGUCUUAUAAUUUUUUUGAGAGGAAAAAAAAUUCAUACGGGGGCUUUUAGCAUUCCAUGUUGGAUAUUAGACUGUCCGAUUAGGUUUCCUUUGUUUUGCACUGGGAGUUGACUAAAUCACCCAUGAUUACUUUUAAGCAUCUUCUAUUCACCUUUUCAACUUUUAUGCAACUAAAAUUCACUUUCAAACCAUUACUUUGGCCCAAAUUCAAGCUUAUAAUCAUAUAAUCAUAUAUAAAAUAUACCUACUCGAGUCUUCAACUUAAUCUUCGAGAUUUGUAACUCUUAUUAGAAAUUAUUGACUUAUUUGACAACUAUUUUUUAGAACAAUUUUCUAUUCUUCAAAAUAAAAAAUAAGGAAAACGUGUUUAACAACUAAGAAUUGUUUACUAUUUUUUGUUUUUAAGAAUAGAAAAUAAAAUAAAACAUUUUUAGAAAACAUCUUUUAAUUAUUUUUACUUAUUUUUCGAAUAUUGUUUUACAAAAUAAGUAUAUAAACAUAUAGAAUGAUUAAAAAUAAAAUACUAGACAUAAAAAUUAUUUCUAAACAUAUUUUAAAAUAUUAAAAAUUUGUUAAAAACAUUUCAUAUUUUCAAACAGAUUUUUAUUUUAUAGAAUAGUUUUUAAAAACUGUUUUUAAAAACAGUUGCCAAAUAGACCCUAAAUAUUUUUGAAUAAGUGAUUUUUAAAACAAAACUAGCACUAUAUCAGCAUACAAGAUACAAAUUAACAACUUAAAACUCAAAGUGAUAAGGACAAAACACAUGGCUUUAGGGGUGUUGUAGGGGAGAAUGCCCUUUGAUUCAAGAAAAUGAAGUAGCAAAGGAAAGGCAAAUAAGAUGAUAACAAGAGUAGGAUGCAAGAAGUCCUUAUACGAAAGAGAUUUUUCAUAUAAAUAAAUGUGAAGAUAUAUCUAGAAAUGUUAUUAUUGGAAUGGGAAUGUAAGGGCCUGUUUGUUUAGUGUUUUCAAGAACUGUUCUCUGUUCUUGAAAACAAAAAACACCAAAAACUCGUUUGGUUGAGAGAGUGAUUUUUGUUUUUGUUGUUUCCCGUGUUCUCAAAAUGACACUGUUUAGAGAACAACAAAAUCUUGUUUUCCCCGUUUUUUUACUGUUCACAGAACAAAAUUAAACAAAAAAAAACAAUCUGUUUCCGUGUUUUUUUUUUUCUUCCCGUUUUUAUCUCUUCUCCAGCACAGUGGCUCGCCUCUUCUUGAUUUUUCCCGUUUCUCAGUUUUGAUUCAAGGUUCGUGAAAUUUAAAUCCAAUCGCACAAUAGCAAAGAGACCCCUAAAACGGAUCCAAAAAACACAGGGAGCAAAAGAAAAUCCAUUUUUUUUGUUUUCCUUGGGGUUUUUGCUUGGAUUUUCUCGGAAAUCAAACGAGGAUGAAUUUUCUCGGAAAUCGAAUGGGGGAUGGGUUUUCUUGGGAAUCAAACGGGGGUUGCAGGGUUUUUGCUUGGAUUUUCUCCGAAAUCAAACGAGGAUGAAUUUUCCCGGAAAUCGAAUGGGGGAUGGAUUUUCUUGGGAAUCAAACAGGGGUUGCAGGGUUUUUGCUUGGAUUUUCUCGGAAAUCAAACGAGGAUGAAUUUUCCCGGAAAUCGAAUGGGGGAUGGAUUUUCUUGGGAAUCAAACGGGGGUUGCAAAAAAAAUAAUAAUAAUAAUAACAUGAUUAGAUUAGUACCUGUGAGGAUUGAGAGUGGCAGAGGAAAAUAGGGCCUUUUACGGAUUCUCUCGGCUGGAGGGCAACUUAGAAAAGGGCUUCUUGAUGCCCGAUGAGAGAAGUGGGUGGCAUUUUGAAUUUUAGAUUUAGUAGAGAUAAAAAAAAAUUAACAUCAUGAGAACAAUUUUAUCUCAACUUAAUAAAAUAUGCUAUAAUUUUUAAUAAAGUUAAAGAUUAAAUAAAAAAAUAUUAAUAAAAAUAAUUUUAUUAUGUUUCAUUUAUUUUUUAAAAAAUAUAAAAAAUAUUUUUAUUUUUAAAUUAAUAAAAUAAAUAAUUUUUUUUAAUUUAAAUUAACUAUAUAUCUAAAAAUUAUUUAUAAAUUUAUAAUAUAAAAUUACUUGAAGAAAAUAUUUUAUUAAUUAGAAAAGAAAAAAAAAUCUUUCAAACAUGUUUUUUGUUUUAUUUGUUCUAAAUUUUUUUUUUUAUUAACUCAACCAAACAUGUUUUUUUGUUUUUGAGAACAAAAACUGUUUUUCAAAAUUCAAUUCCCAAACACAAUUUUUAAAAAAAAAACACCAAAAACUGUUCUUAAAAACUGUUCUCAAAAAUUGUUUUCCAGAACAGUUUUCAAAAACAGCAACCAAACAGGCCCUAAACUUCACUCCUCUAAUUCUCACGUAUUUUUAUAUAUGAAACAUGAAUUUCAUAUUAUGUUACCAUUUUCGCCCUCUAAAUGAGAACUAAUUUCUUUCAUCUCCUUUUAAUUGAUGUAUGAUUUUCUACUCCGAAUCUUGUGGUAGACAAUUUUAUAAAAAAAUUAGAAUUAUUUGACAAUAUUAUAAAAAAAUAGUUUUGGAGAACGGUUGAUCAUAAAAAUAGCUUUUAAUUAUUUUUUUUAAGAACAAAAAACCUACUCUUAACUUACCAAUAUAUCUUUAUUAAGCUCCUGUCGGUGGUUUUAGAGCUACUAGGAAUGGCAGGCCUGUUAGCUCUAACCCCAGGAGUAGUUCUUGGAACUGGUCCUUUUCCUGGAAAUUUUGGCUUCCAAAUGCACAGAAUAUUACUGAACCAGGCUUGAACCCACCCAGCCACUGAGGCCACCGGUCCUCUAAUGGCGUGGGUAAUACGGGGCCUGUUAGGAACACUGGUUUUCCAUACUGACCUCCAAUGUAGUCACAGAAGGGCCCUUCAAUUUCAUGACAUGUUCUUCUAGAGAUGGCAUCACAGCAUUUCAUGCCAGUGGUGAGGCGUUGACACCGUAAAGAAAAGAAGAAUUCGGAAAUGUAGAAAAGCCUCUCUUGAUUAUCAAGAGAGGUUAUACAAUAUUUAUAUUGUAUACUUGAAUUAGUUACAAUCUGAUUUUAAUCAGAUAAUAAUUUGAACUUAAAAACAAAAAACAAACUUACCAAACUGAUAAAGAUAAAACCUACCAAGUUAUCAACUAAUACACAUUGUGAUAAAUAUAAGUUUGUAAAGUUUUAUCUUUAUUAGUUUGAGCUUGUCUUGGAGCAUCUGGAAACGUUGAGUCCCAAGACCCCUCAAGCGAAGAUAUCUGCAAUUUGAUAAUUAGUAGAGAUGUGUCUAACAGUGAGGUUACCUUGGAGGACCUUUUCACGAACAAAGUGGAAAUUAAUUUCUACAUGCUUCAUUCUAGAGUGAAUGACCGGAUUUGCAGCAAGAAAUAUAGCUCCCAAAUUAUCACACCAUAAGAUAGGAGAAGAGUGUUGAAUAAUACCAAUAUCUUUAAGCAAGGAUUGGAUCCAUGACAGUCUACAACUGCUAGUGCGAUAGCUCUGUACUCCGACUCUGUACUUGAAUGAGCUAUGACUUUUUGCUUGGUUGUCUGCCAAGAAAUAAGAUUAGGCCCAAGAUAAAUAGCAUAACCACUCAUGGAAUUUCUAUCAUCGGGAUUGCUUGUCCAAUCUGCAUCAAUAUAGGCCAAAAGAGGUAAAGAAGAUGCACUAGUGAGUCGAAGACCAUGAUAAAUUGUACCAUUAAGGUACCGCAAUAUCCGUUUCACCCCUUUCCAGUGUAGGGUAGUUGGGUUGUGCAUGAAUUGGGAAGCUUUGUUGACUACAAAGGUGAUAUCCGACCUGGUUAAUGUUAAGUAUUGGAGUGCACCAACAGUGCUACGAUAAGUGUGAGGAUCGCUCAUAGGGUCACCAUCAUGAAUGGAGAGUUGUUUACCAGCAAUAAUUGGGCUUGGUAGUGGUUUAGCACCAUCCAUUUUGGUUCGAACCAACAAGUCAUGGAUAUACUUCGAUUGAGUGAGAUAGAGCAUUACCAUGGCGAGAGGCUUCCAGUCCCAAAAAACUAAUGAAGAUCUCCCAAAUCUUUUAAGGCAAAAUUCUUGUUGAGAUAUGAAAUUAAGGACUGCAUGAGAGAUAUGCUAUCACCUAUGAGAAGGAUGUCAUCGACAUAAACUAGUAAAAUCAGAGUAUGCUGAUUGUUUCAAAAGAGAAACAUGGAGGGAUCAACAAUGAAAGGUUGAAAACCCCAUUUGAGGAGAGUGUCUUGCAAAUGUUGGAACCAAGCCCGAGGAGCCUGUUUGAGACCAUAUAAUGUCUUCUCUAAUUUGCAAAAAUAAUUAGGAAAUUGAGAAAGCACAAAAUCAGAUGGUUGAGCUAUAUAUACGUCUUCCACAAGAAGUCCAUUCAAGAAGGCAUUAUGGACAUCUAAUUGACGGAUGGGCCAAUUAUGGGAGAUUGCAAAGGAUAGAACAGUGCAAAUAGUGGUUGCUUUGACCAUUGUGGGUUGUGGGGGUGGGGGGGGGUUUAUCCCAUGUGUCCACCCACAAGUACUUCCACUCGUCUGUCCACGUGGCAUCAUUUUAGCUGGGCCACGUGUCAGUUCUUCAUCACUACGCAGAUGACCUCCAAGGCAUCCGGAGACAUCCUGUCCGGACCAUUUGCGUUGCUGAGUGGCCCACAUAUCCUUGAUAACCUCAAAUAUUUUCUGAUAUAUGAGACCAUGGCUAGCUGACACUAGAUUGACUGAUGGGAUUCUUCUCAUCCUCACGUCUGUUUCAGUAGAUAGGCAUGCUUAGUCUCAAGCCGUUAACAAGGUUGAAGGGACAACAAGUUGUGUCAUGACGCGCCAUUUGACAUAGCCCCCAGCCGCUUGCAGAUGUGAUGAUUGUCCUGUCAGUACUGCGUAAUCAUCACUACAAGGGCCAACUCAGCACUACGGAGUCUGACUCCACAUUUGAACAUUAUAAAAAUCCUAUUGAAAUAGAAGAAGACGAGGACACAGCGAGUCAUCUCAACCCACUCUCUCUCUCUCUCUUUAAAGGUUUCCAUUCUCCUAACGUCUAACUUGGGCUUCGGAGGGUGUGUCCGGACAACCCGUCCAGACAUCUUUGUGCAGGGAAGCAUAAGGCCUAGAUUCCGAUACCGGAGCGAGAGCUUUCUCUACCACGCCUAAGGGAGGAAUCCAUCCUCAGUUGACUAGGUAUCAACACAUUGGGCUGAACGUUUCAGUGUAAUCAACAUCUGGAAAUUGAUGAAAACCUUUUGUAACUAACCGAGCUUUGAAUAUGUCCACAAUCCCAUCCAGAUUCUGUUUGAAUAGUGCAGAUGGGAAUUGGUGGGUUUUAUGGGUUCUGGUGGGGGAGGGUUUAGAAGGGCCAUGGUACCUACGGUAUUGUCGUGGGAGAGAGUGGGGAGUGGUUCUAGUGGAGCACGUGAGCGAGUUAAGGUGGGUUUUGAUGGUUGUGGAGGUACUGGAGCAUGUGGAUGGAGUUGUGGGGUUUGGUGAAUGUGGGAGAGAGAGGAUGAGGAAGCUUGUGGCAAUAAAGGGAGAAGCACUUGUAGGAACUGGGAUGGCAAGUCUGGUGGCUUGGAAAUUGGACUAGAAGGCUUGAAAAAAUCAGUGGAGAAUGGGAAAUCAUUUUCAUUAAAAAUAACAUGCAGUGAAAUGAGAAUUUUCCCAGAAUUGGGGAGACACAAAUAACCUUUAUGAUAUGGGUUGUAGCCAAGAAAGAUUUGUUUUAAGGAGUGAAAUUGGAAUCUUUGUUUGCUAAGAGGAUGAGUAAAUGGGUAGCAUGCACAACCAAAUGUGUGAAGAAAGGAGUAGUCAGGUUGAUGGUGGAAAAUUUUUUCCGAAGGAGUUUUGUUUUGAAGAAUCGGGGUUGGAAGACGAUUAAUGGUGUAAACAAAGAAGGCAAAGCAAAAUCCUAGAAUUAGAGAGGUAAAGAUGCAUGAGCAAGACAAGUCAUACCCAUUUCGCAAUAUGACGUUGUUUGUGUUCUGCUUUGCCAUUUUGUUAAUGGGCGUGUGGACAAGAAAACUGGUGGUGUAUGCCAUGGGAUUCAAGAAAUUAUCGAAAAGUUGUAGAUGAAAAUUCUCCACCCUCAUCAGUUUGAAGAAAUUUUAUUUUUGUUUCCAAUUGAUUUUCAACAAGAAGUUUAAAUUUGAUGAAAGAUGAUAAGGCUUCAGAUUUGUUUUGUAAGGGAUAUAACCAUGUGUAGCGUGAAAAAUCAUCAGAUGUAGUAUCGAAAGCCUUUGGUGGAGAUCAUGGGGGAUGGUCCCCAAAUGUCACUGUGAAUAAGCUGAAGUGGUUUGGUUGUUUUCUGAACAACAGGUUUGAAAGGCAGACGUUUGUGUUUGCCAAAAACUGACAGGAAGCACAAAAUGCAAUAUUUUUAUUAAAAUUGAAAGGCAAAUUACAAUAUGAAAAAACUUGGGAUAAAAUCCUAAGGAAAGGAUGACCUAAUCGAGCAUGCCAAAUGUGAGCCUGAGAAGGUGAAGUGGUUAAGGCAAUUGACUUAUUGAAAGUAGAAAAACAACUUGGUUGUGAGACUGCACUAAUUGAACUGGACUGAACGAACAAGUAGGUUUUGAUUGCUCAGCACGAGGGGUCAGAAGUUGCAAUUUGUAAAGACCAUGAUCAAGUAGCCCAUGGAGCAAAAUCUUCUUGGAAACUUGAUCCUUAACAAGAAAAAAAGUGUGGUAAAAUUCAAAAAAAACAAUUGUUGUCAGAUGUGAAUUUGGCAAUGCUUAGAAGGUUCUUUGUAAUUUCAAGAACAAAAUGUUUUGAAGGGUAAAUGUGUGUGGAUGUGUUUGAAGUAAUGAAUUUCCAAUGUGUUUUAUGUCCAGACCUGUGCCAUUGCCGACUGUUAUUUUGUCAGUACCAGUGUAUGGAUUUUGGGUUGAAAGGUUGUUGAUGUCAGGGUGAGCUGAUGAGUUGCUCCAGAGUCGACAUACCAGGAUGGGUUAGUUAUUAUCUGAGGUGUGGCAAUCAUGGCAUGCAUCUGGUAUUGUUAAUGGUUAUUUGGAGGUUGAAAGUUACGAUCAAAUCGGUAGUAGCAUGAGAUUGCAAGAUGGUCGAGUUUUCCACAAACUUGGCAUCGUGGACGAGUGCCACGACCCAUUUCAUUUCUGCUAUUGCCACCAUGUCCCCUUGCUCUGGCACUAAACUGAAAACGGCCUUGCCGACUACCAUGAUAUUUAGGUGCUGAUUUUGGCUUCGGAGAUGUUGCAGUAGCUAGGUUGGCAGAAGGUUGAUUAACAUCCAAUGUGACUUUUGUAUUUUGCUGCUUCAAACGGAUGUGAAAGCUGGUGAGCAAAGUAGAUAAUUCAGAUAGAGAAAUCGAUGCUGGUCGGGCAAGGAUCGAUGUCACAAAAGGGUUGCAUUCAACUCCCAGUCCGCCUAAGAUAUGAAGGACAAGUCUUUGUUCAUCCACAGGUUCUCCUGCUACUGCCAAUUUAUCUGCAAUAUUUUUCAUUUUGAGAAGAUAAUCAUCAAUAUCAGAAACUCCUUUUUUUUGUAUUUUGGAGUUGAAAUUGAAGUUGCAUGAUAUUGGAUGAUGACUGGGAGGCCAAUAAAGUUUCAAGGGUGGUCCAAACUGCAUGAGAGGUUUGACAUCCAACCACGUGCCCUAAAAUGGCUUCAGAGAGAAAGGCUAGUAACCAACACAAAAGGAGUUGGUCUUGUUGUUCCCAUGCAUAUAAUCAGGAUUAAUACUAUGGGUUGAUUCUUCUUGAUAUUUGGGAGGGCAAGGUAGUGUCCCAAAGAGAAAACCACCAAGAUUAUGACCUUUGAUGGCAGGUAUAAUCUGUGAUUUCCGGAGAAGAUAGUUACUCCGAUCAAGUUUGAUGUUGAUGGGAUGGUUAAAGGUAUUGUGAAAUAAUGAGGGUGUUGUAAGAAAGGAGAUUGAAGAUGACUCUAUAGUAGAAGACAUUGGACGUUAGUCAGAGAUUGCUCUGAUACGAUGUAAAGAAAAGAAGAAUUCUGAAAUGUUGAAAAACCUCUAUUGAUUAUCAAGGAGAGGUUAUGCAAUGUUUAUAUCAUAUACUUGAAGUAGUUACAAUCUGAUUUAAAUCGGAUAAUAAUUUGAAUUUAAAUACAGGAAACAUAAGACCUACCAACUUAUCAACUAAUACACAUUGUGAUAAAUAUAAGUUUGAUAAGUUUCAUCUCUAUCACUUUGAGGAUAUUUAUUAUCCUUUACAGAUACAAGUUGACGCCUUCACCAAAUGGGGCAAACAGGAAUUGCACCAUCCAAGCUUCAUGGGGCGGAGCACCACCGUUGAGGAGGGGUAACCAGGGGGUGUCACAGCUGUAAUUGGCCUGUCUUUGCUAACUUGUUGACCCGGGACAGGGUGGCGGGCAAAGGCUGCUGCACAAACUGCACUGUAGUAUAUGGACUUGAUGCCUACUUUGGAAGUCAAAGCGGGAGCCAAGUGAAGAAAAUCAAAGAGGAAAAGGUCUGGCUUCAAGGCACGUAGGGCUGCCUCAACUUGGUCAGUGGUGCGGUCCAUGGCGGUGGCGAGAAGGUGAUGCAAGAAGUUGGGCACAUCGGAAGCAGUUUCAGCGCCGGAAGGGAGGCCAUCAACAUGGGGGAUGGUGAGGGGAUGGAAAGUUAUGAGAGUGGGAUGAAGAUUCAG